rnacentral:rRNA from 1 species
CCUACGGGUGGCAGCAGUGAGGAAUAUUGGGCAAUGGGCGCGAGCCUGAACCAGCCAAGUAGCGUGAAGGAUGACGGCCCUACGGGUUGUAACCUUCUUUUAUAAAGGAAUAAAGUGAGGCACGUGUGCCUUUUUGUAUGUACUUUAUGAAUAAGGAUCGGCUAACUCCGUGCCAGCAGCCGCGGUAAUACGGAGGAUCCGAGCGUUAUCCGGAUUUAUUGUGUUUAAAGGAAGCGUAGAUGGGUUGUUAAGUCAGUGGUGAAAGUUUGCGGCUCAACCGUAAAAUUGCAAUUGAUACUGGCAGUCUUGAGUACAGUUGAGGUAGGUGGAAUUCGAGGUGUAGCGGUGAAAUGCGUAGAUAUCACGAAGAACUCCGAUUGCGAAGGCAGCUUACUAAACUGCCACUGACAUUGAUGCGCGAAAGUGUGGGUAGCAAACAGGAUUAGAUACCCUUGUAGUC